rnacentral:rRNA from 1 species
AUGAACGCUGGCGGCGUGCCUAAUCCAUGCAAGUCGAGCGCACAGACGAGGAGCUUGCUCCUCUGACGUUAGCGGCGGACGGGUGAGUAACACGUGGAUAACCUACCUAUAAGACUGGGAUAACUUCGGGAAACCGGAGCUAAUACCGGAUAAUAUAUUGAACCGCAUGGUUCAAUAGUGAAAGACGGUUUUGCUGUCACUUAUAGAUGGAUCCGCGCCGCAUUAGCUAGUUGGUAAGGUAACGGCUUACCAAGGCAACGAUGCGUAGCCGACCUGAGAGGGUGAUCGGCCACACUGGAACUGAGACCCGGUCCAUACUCCUACGGAAGGCAGCAGUAGGGAAUCUUCCGCAAUGGGCGAAAGCCUGACGGAGCAACGCCGCGUGAGUGAUGAAGGUCUUCGGAUCGUAAAACUCUGUUAUUAGGGAAGAACAAAUGUGUAAGUACCUAUGCACGUCUUGACGGUACCUAAUCAGAAAGCCACGGCUAACUACGUG